CUGCUUUUGCUUUUGUUUUUUGUUUUUCAUCCCUUUUCACACAAUGGAAACACCUACGGAGGGUGGACACUAUGUGCAACAUCAUCAAACUAUGUAGGAAAAAAGUUACACAACAUACGGAAAGCAAAUAAUGUUGUAAAAUAAAAAAAUAAAAACACUAACCUGUAAGUAGUGGAGCAACCGUAGCAGGAGUAAACACUAACCUGUAAAGAGUUGGCUCAAUACUUGCUUUUAUUAACUCUGAUGCUGGCUAUGCCAUCGUAUAGAUGAAAGAUAUAAAAUAAUUUGCAUCUGAGAUUUGUUUUAACAGAAAAUAAUAAUUUACCUCGUUUAGUUAAUCUGAAGGAUGAGACAUAAAUAUAACUCACUUCUGGCGCUGAGAAAAGACCGCCCAAGGUGGAACAAUUUUUCUUAUAUCCUGCACUCUCAUCCUUGCCUACAUAAUGUAAGGUCAUGAAUACAUGAGAGAAGUCUUCUUCACUUGCUUGCCUGAUUUUCUACAACCAAAACUUUCCAUUUAUCCUUCAUACCAGCAGAGCUCAAAUGCACUUUCUCCUUUUUCUUUCUUUUGAGUUUGAAAGCUUCUUUUCCAACUCAACUUCUACCUUUUAGCUACCUUUUGAAAAAAAGAAGAAGCAGGGUGCUGAACAGAGGGAAGAGAGAAGAGAAAGAGGAAGAGGAAAAAAUGAUCUAAUUAUAGAGAGAUCCCUAAUUAACUUAAUU
rnacentral:lncRNA from 1 species